GAGGGUAUAGCUCAAGUGAUAGAGCGCAUGUUUAGCAUUCACGAGGUCCACGCAUGAGGUCCUGGGUUCAAUCCCCAGUACCCCCU
rnacentral:tRNA from 1 species